GGCAACAGUCAUUUUGUCGUUUCGUAAUUGUUAACAUUCCAAGAUUUGUUGUCUCUUCCGUAUUUUUGAAAUUUUAGAAUUGUUUGAGACAGUUAAUUAAGAAGGAAAUGACUAUGACGGACAACGAUGAUGUUGGAAAAUUAUUUGUUGGUGGUUUGAGUUGGGAAACAACUAAAGAGAAUUUACAUAAUUAUUUUAGUAAGUUUGGAGAAGUGGUUUGAUAGUGUUGUCAUGAAGAAUAAUGAAACUGGUAGAUCUCGAGGAUUUGGGUUUGUUACUUUUAAAGAUCCCAGUUGCGUGACUGCUGUAUUGCAAUCAAAACCUCAUGAAUUAAAUGGACGCACGGUUGAUCCAAAGGAAUGUACACCAAGAAGUAUGCAGAAG